ACGUAGGUCACAAGCGUUGUCCGGAAUUACUGGGUGCAAAGGGAGCGCAGGCGGGAGAACAAGUUGGAAGUGAAAUCCAUGGGCUCAACCCAUGAACUGCUUUCAAAACUGUUUUUCUUGAGUAGUGCAGAGGUAGGCGGAAUUCCCGGUGUAGCGGUGGAAUGCGUAGAUAUCGGGAGGAACACCAGUGGCGAAGGCGGCCUACUGGGCACCAACUGACGCUGAGGCUCGAAAGUGUGGGUAGCAAACAG
rnacentral:rRNA from 1 species